rnacentral:lncRNA from 1 species
AAUCUCCUCCGAAGUCUCCAUCAUAAUCAGCAGCAUCAGAGACAAUAUCUCCGAUUAAAAGCCCACCAAGCAUUCCGCCAAGCAAUCCAGUUCCAAAUCCCAGUCCCCCAUUACUCUUCUUCUGUGGCUUCACAGGCGGGUACCCGUAUCCCUGUUGUGGCGGUGGAGGCGGGUACCCGUAUCCCUGUUGUGGUGCAGGCGGGUACCCGUAUCCCUGUUGUGGCGGUGGAGGCGGGUACCCGUAUCCCGGUUGUUGCGGUGGGUAUGCACCAUUCGGCGCCGCUCCUUGAGGGGGUUGCGGUGGGUAACCGUACCCUGCCUGAGGCGGCGGGGGGUAAGCGUAAGGCACAGAGCUCGAUCCGGCUGCCAUAGGCGCCGGAUAAGCAGUCACGGG